UUUUUUUUUUUUUACCAAUUAUAUUAUUCCCUUCUCCCCAAGAAGUGGGCAGAAAAGCUUUGUUAACCUCCUUUUACAGAUGAAGAAAAACAAGAUCAGAGGUGCUAAGUGCUGUAGCCUAGUGCCAGGUCUUCUGGCCCCAAUUCUGGGUUCUCCCCAAGCCCAUGCUUCUUCCACUUUCUCACAAUCUUUACUUCUUCCUCUGACCCUCACCACCACCCAAAAUGCUUUUAAUUCUGGAAAAGAAACCCAGCUGCACACUGGCACACUUGACCUUCCUGCAGUCAGAAGCCUUGGCUGAUUCCCCAUCCAAAAUAUUAGAGAUGAAAUGAAAGCAAAGUAGGCAUCUGACAAAAGUUGCUUUUUCCCUUCUGCAUUUUAGGACCUCAAGUAAUGUUUAUCCAGAAACUGCUAUCAUACCAGAGAUUCACUGUGUAUUUAACAACAUAGGCAUACAAUCUGGCAAAUUUGAAAAACUCUUAACAUACACCCCAAAUCCCUGCCCAAAUUUAAGAACUAGGGUGGACACAGUGCUUUUUUCCAUGUCGCAUCUUCUGUGAUGGGGCUACGAUAUGUGGGAGCAGAGAAUGGGGAGGGUGGAGCGCAUGCCAGAUGAGGAUCUAUCAGCAAUGGGAGGGGGCCUCCACUUUAGCAUCUCCACCCUGCUCCUCUCAGAGGACCGCCUUUCAUUGCAUUCAGCUGUGAUGGUAGCAAGAACACAGGCGCACCGAGGACGAGGAGAGCGGGAGCCUUGUGCUCUCUCUGCAUCUGAGGCAGGACAGCACAGGGUAUGGAGCAGUCUGCAGAGAGGCCAGCUCAUCAGCUCAUCAGGGAAGCACUUGUCUUCCACCUUGGGCUUUGACUGAGCACUGGGCAAUUGGACCCUGGGGAUCAAUGAAAUAAUCCUAAGCAGAGUUACUCUAUGUCACACUAUGGAAUGUUCCAAGUAGAUGGCCGUGUUUUCAAAAGAUAUAUUUUCUCCUUUUGUUGUUGCCAUUUCAUAGGUUUAGGAUUGGGUGUGUGUGUCUCCUCUCUGAAUGGCACUCAAAUGUUUGCUGACUCCUACUCUGCGUGACUGGGGUGUACAGCUAUGGACUGAUGCAUCCCAUCCCAUCAUCUUUCACGAGCAAAGCAGUCUCUUUUUUGACAGCUGAAGAAGAAUCUGUAGGGAAUCCAGAAGGAGCAUUCAUGAAGAUGUUACAAGCCCGGAAGAAUUACACAAGCACUGAGCUGACUGUUGAGCCGGAGGAGCCCUCAGACAGCAGUGGCAUCAACUUGUCAGGCUUUGGGAGUGAGCAGCUAGACACCAAUGACGAGAGUGAUGUUAUCAGUGCACUAAGUUACAUUUGCCAUAUUUCUCAGCAGUAAACCUAGAUGUGGAAUCAAUGUUACUACCGUUCAUUAAACUGCCAACCACAGGAAACAGCCUGGCAAAGAUUCAAACUGUAGGCCAAAACCGGCAAAAAGUGAAUAGAGUCCUCAUGGGCCCAAUGAGCAUCCAGAAAAGGCACUUCAAAGAGGUGGGAAGGCAGAGCAUCAGGAGGGAACAGGGUGCCCAGGCAUCUGUGGAGAACGCUGCCGAAGAAAAAAGGCUCGGGAGUCCAGCCCCAAGGGAGCUGGAACAGCCUCACACACAGCAGGGGCCUGAGAAGUUAGCGGGAAACGCCAUCUACACCAAGCCUUCGUUCAGCCAAGAGCAUAAGGCAGCAGUCUCUGUGCUGACACCCUUCUCCAAGGGCGCGCCUUCUACCUCCAGCCCUGCAAAAGCCCUACCACAGAUGAGAGACAGAUUGAAAGACAACACACACUAUUUCCAUUUUAGAAAGUGCAAAGGCUAGAGUUACAAAUAUGAAGGCUUCUAAACCAAUUUCACAUUCCAGAAAAAAAUACCGCUUUCACAAAACUCGCUCCGCAUGACCCACAGAACACCCAAGGUCAAAAAGAGUCCAAAGUUCAGAAAGAAAAGUUAUCUGAGUAGACUGAUGCUCGCAAACAGGCCUCCGUUCUCUGCAGCGAAGAGCCUCAUAAAUUCCCCUUCACAAGGGGCUUUUUCAUCCUUAGGAGACCUGAGUCCUCAAGAAAACCCUUUUCUGGAAGUAUCUGCUCCUUCAGAACAUUUUAUAGAAACCACUAAUAUAAAAGACACAACUGCAAGAAAUGCCUUGGAAGAAAAUGUUUUUAUGGAAAACACUAACAUGCCAGAAGUCACCAUCUCUGAAAACACAAACUACAAUCAUCCUCCUGAGGCAGAUUCCGCUGGGACUGCAUUCAACUUAGGGCCAACUGUUAAACAAACUGAGACAAAAUGGGAAUACAACAACGUGGGCACUGACCUGUCCCCCGAGCCCAAAAGCUUCAAUUACCCAUUGCUCAGUUUGAAAUUCAGCUAACCCAGCAGCUACAGUCCCUUAUCCCCAACAACAAUGUGAGAAGACUCAUUUCUCAUGUUAUCCGGACCUUGAAGAUGGACUGCUCUGGGGCCCAUGUGCAAGUGACCUGUGCCAAGCUCAUCUCCAGGACAGGCCACCUGAUGAAGCUUCUCAGUGGGCAGCAGGAAGUAAAGGCAUCUGAGAUAGAAUGGGAUACGGACCAAUGGAAGACUGAGAACUACAUUAAUGAGAGCACGGAAGCCCAGAGUGAACAGAAAGAGAAGUCGCUUGAGCUCACAAAAGAAGUUCCAGGAUACGGCUAUACUGACAAACUCAUCUUGGCAUUAAUUGUGACUGAAAUACUAAUGAUUUUGAUUAUACUUUUCUGCCUCAUUGUGGUUUAGGAUUGGGUGUGUGUGUCUCCUCUCUGAAUGGCACUCAAAUGUUUGCUGACUCCUACUCUGCGUGACUGGGGUGUACAGCUAUGGACUGAUGCAUCCCAUCCCAUCAUCUUUCACGAGCAAAGCAGUCUCUUUUUUGACAGCUGAAGAAGAAUCUGUAGGGAAUCCAGAAGGAGCAUUCAUGAAGGUGUUACAAGCCCGGAAGAAUUACACAAGCACUGAGCUGACUGUUGAGCCGGAGGAGCCCUCAGACAGCAGUGGCAUCAACUUGUCAGGCUUUGGGAGUGAGCAGCUAGACACCAAUGACGAGAGUGAUGUUAUCAGUGCACUAAGUUACAUUUGCCAUAUUUCUCAGCAGUAAACCUAGAUGUGGAAUCAAUGUUACUACCGUUCAUUAAACUGCCAACCACAGGAAACAGCCUGGCAAAGAUUCAAACUGUAGGCCAAAACCGGCAAAAAGUGAAUAGAGUCCUCAUGGGCCCAAUGAGCAUCCAGAAAAGGCACUUCAAAGAGGUGGGAAGGCAGAGCAUCAGGAGGGAACAGGGUGCCCAGGCAUCUGUGGAGAACGCUGCCGAAGAAAAAAGGCUCGGGAGUCCAGCCCCAAGGGAGCUGGAACAGCCUCACACACAGCAGGGGCCUGAGAAGUUAGCGGGAAACGCCAUCUACACCAAGCCUUCGUUCAGCCAAGAGCAUAAGGCAGCAGUCUCUGUGCUGACACCCUUCUCCAAGGGCGCGCCUUCUACCUCCAGCCCUGCAAAAGCCCUACCACAGGUGAGAGACAGAUUGAAAGACAACACACACUAUUUCCAUUUUAGAAAGUGCAAAGGCUAGAGUUACAAAUAUGAAGGCUUCUAAACCAAUUUCACAUUCCAGAAAAAAAUACCGCUUUCACAAAACUCGCUCCGCAUGACCCACAGAACACCCAAGGUCAAAAAGAGUCCAAAGUUCAGAAAGAAAAGUUAUCUGAGUAGACUGAUGCUCGCAAACAGGCCUCCGUUCUCUGCAGCGAAGAGCCUCAUAAAUUCCCCUUCACAAGGGGCUUUUUCAUCCUUAGGAGACCUGAGUCCUCAAGAAAACCCUUUUCUGGAAGUAUCUGCUCCUUCAGAACAUUUUAUAGAAACCACUAAUAUAAAAGACACAACUGCAAGAAAUGCCUUGGAAGAAAAUGUUUUUAUGGAAAACACUAACAUGCCAGAAGUCACCAUCUCUGAAAACACAAACUACAAUCAUCCUCCUGAGGCAGAUUCCGCUGGGACUGCAUUCAACUUAGGGCCAACUGUUAAACAAACUGAGACAAAAUGGGAAUACAACAACGUGGGCACUGACCUGUCCCCCGAGCCCAAAAGCUUCAAUUACCCAUUGCUCAGUUUGAAAUUCAGCUAACCCAGCAGCUACAGUCCCUUAUCCCCAACAACAAUGUGAGAAGGCUCAUUUCUCAUGUUAUCCGGACCUUGAAGAUGGACUGCUCUGGGGCCCAUGUGCAAGUGACCUGUGCCAAGCUCAUCUCCAGGACAGGCCACCUGAUGAAGCUUCUCAGUGGGCAGCAGGAAGUAAAGGCAUCUGAGAUAGAAUGGGAUACGGACCAAUGGAAGACUGAGAACUACAUUAAUGAGAGCACGGAAGCCCAGAGUGAACAGAAAGAGAAGUCGCUUGAG